AAAGAGCAAGCGAAAACAUGGCUGAUCAGACUCUCCUCUGGCUGAGUUCAUCAGCCAAAGAAACAGCUCUGAGCGUGUCACUCGAGGCUCUGUCAGAGGUGACUGUCUCAUUCCUCUGCGCAGGAGCACUUUCAGUAAGUCAGCCUGGUCAGUGAGGAGCGCUGGUGAGUGGAACUCAGUACCUGAGGAGGUUAAAGUGCUUACAACAUACAAGGCCUUCACAAAAAAACUGAAAAUGUGGUUACACCUAUAGCUGCCAACACUAAAAGACAACUCCAUCCAACCAUCUUCAAAGAUGGGCGCCUACCACAAUCCAUUUUUGAAGGCUCACAGUCACAAUCCAAAUGCAACAUUUGUUUUAAAAGGGGGGAGUAUGCAUGUUUUGGCUCAUAUGCAAACCCAUGAAAAGACAGCUGUUUGUUACGGAGGAAUGUUGCCCAGCACAUGAAACCCAGAAAAUGAUCAGAGUUCUCAAGCCUUGAUAUAGAGCUGAUGGAUUCCAUUUUGAGGAGUAUCUUCAUUGAAGCUGUUCUUCAGGAUGGGGACUGUGUGAUCCGUGCGCUGGCUCUGACCUGCACCCGUUUUUGGGUUAUAGUCAAGCUAGAGACGUUCCACAAUGUAGCACACCUUCACUGGCUAGACAGUGAGUGAGUGAGUGAUACUAUUCAGAUAUAUUUGAAUAUAUAUAUAUUUUUUAACAGGUGUCGUGACCUGGAGUCUGUACAUAGGAACACAUACAGAAUCCCCUAUGUCACUGCCACCUGUGUCCAAUGUCAUAAUAAUUAUAAAGACACAAAAGGUUGUCGAUGAUGGGGAAAGAGAGUCUGACGGCGACAGUAUGGGAGGAUGCUGCUCGAUGGACUGUUUUUUGUUUCU